UUCAUUUACUCUGGCCUAAGGGUGCUGCCAGGCUUGACUGAGGAUCAGAGUCCGCUCCGCAGACCACGGCAGGGCAGCCCACGUGUAGACGCCCCGCCUCAAUGCAGCUCCCGAGCAGGCUCCCACGUGCCGAGUGGAACAGUCCACUUCUUCCCCCCUCCCCCCCAUCGGUUAGACGUCGCGUCCUAUCGCGCCAGCGCAGUAAGUCCCUCCCCCCCCCCGGGUGGUACUUUCCAAGCCUUUAAAAGCCACCGACUAAAACCUAGUCUUUCUUUUCCGUUGGCAGCGCGUGAGGCGUGUGAUUCUCAGCGAGGCUUGCGUCGGCGGCCGGGUAGCUCCCACAGAGCUAAGGCGGGUAGUGGGGAUCUCGCUGCUGCGCCGCUGCGUUGCAGGUCGAUGGCCGCCGCCGUACGGACCGGAGCCCAACGGCUGCCGGGACAUCGCCAUGCAGCGCCUGGCGUGCAGGCCGCGACGGAUGUGCGCGUGCGCGUGCGCGGCCCGGCUGAGUCAGGGCAGAACAGUGACUUGAGCUGCAAGCUUUUUCCAGGGCAUUUGAGGUGAUCUCCAAGAGAGAGCAGCGCUCUGCCAGUGAAAAUCCUCAGAGGUGUUCAGGCUCUUCAUCUGAGAUGGAAGAAUUCCCUGAGUAUCAAUCCAA
ensembl:lncRNA